rnacentral:rRNA from 1 species
CCUACGGGAGGCAGCAGUGGGGAAUAUUGCACAAUGGGGGAAACCCUGAUGCAGCGACGCCGCGUGAGUGAAGAAGUAAUUCGUUAUGUAAAGCUCUUUCAGCAGGGAAGAAAAUGACGGUACCUGAGUAAGAAGCCGCGGCUAAAUACGUGCCAGCAGCCGCGGUAAUACGUCGGGGGCAAGCGUUAUCCGGAUUUACUGGGUGUAAAGGGGGCGUAGACGGCAGUGCAGGUCUGGAGUGAAAGGGGGGGGCUCAACCCACGGACUGCUCUGGAAACUGUACGGCUGGAGGGCAGGAGAGGUAAGUGGAAUGCGUAGUGUAGCGGUGAAAUGCGUAGAGAUUAGGAGGAACACCAGUGGCGAAGGCGGCUUACCGGACUGUAACUGACGUUGAGGCUCGAAAGCGUGGGGAGCAAACAGGAUUAGAUACCCUGGUAGUC